GACGAACGCUGGCGGCGUGCCUAAUACAUGCAAGUAGAACGCUGAAGGAGGAGCUUGCUCUUCUGGAUGAGUUGCGAACGGGUGAGUAACGCGUAGGUAACCUGCCUCGUAGCGGGGGACAACUAUUGGAAACGAUAGCUAAUACCGCAUAAGAGUAGAUGUUGCAUGACAUUUGCUUAAAAGGUGCAAUUGCAUCACUACCAAAUGGACCUGCGUUGUAUUAGCUAGUUGGUGGGGUAACGGCUCACCAAGGCGAGGAUACAUAGCCGACCGGAGAGGGUGAUGGGCCACUCUGGGACGGAGACACUGCCCAGACUGCUACGGGAGGCAGCAGUAGUGGAUCUGCUGCCAUGGAUGGAAGUGAGAACGGGCAAGGCCGCGGGGGUGAAGAAGGUGCUCGGAUCGUAGAGCUUUGUUGUAAGGGGAGAGCGGGUGUGGGAGUGGACUGUUCACGCUGUGACGGUAUCUUACCAGAAAGGCACGGCUAACUACGUG
rnacentral:rRNA from 1 species